UGCGGAGGGUGCGAGCGUUGUCCGGAAUCAUUGGGCGUAAAGGGCGCGUAGGUGGCCCGGUCAGUUCGUGGUGAAAGCGCGGGGCUCAACUCCGCGUCGGCCAUGAAUACUGCUGGGCUUGAGCACUGUAGAGGCAGGCGGAAUUCCGGGUGUAGCGGUGGAAUGCGUAGAGAUCCGGAAGAACACCGGUGGCGAAGGCGGCCUGCUGGGCAGUAGCUGACACUGAGGCGCGACAGCGUGGGGAGCAAACAGG
rnacentral:rRNA from 1 species